UGGGGUGUGGCUCAGUGGUAAAGUGCUCACCUAGCAUGGGUGAGGCCCUGGGUUGGAUUCUCAGCACCACAU
rnacentral:tRNA from 1 species